rnacentral:tRNA from 1 species
GCGGUUGUAGCUCAGCAGGUCAGAGCGCCACCUUGCCAUGGUGGAGGCCGCCGGUUCGACUCCGGCCAGCCGCU